rnacentral:rRNA from 1 species
ACGACUGCUAAGACUGGAUAGGAAAUUAAGAGGCAUCUUUUAAUUUUUAAAAGACCUUUUUCGGAAGGUAUGCUUAAAGAGGGGCUUGCGCCACAUUAGUUAGUUGGUAAGGUAAAGGCUUACCAAGACGAUGAUGUGUAGCUGGACUGAGAGGUUGAACAGCCACAUUGGGACUGAGACACGGCCCAAACUCCUACGGGAGGCAGCAGUAAGGAAUUUUUGGCAAUGGAGGAAACUCUGACCGAGCGACGCCGCGUGAACAAUGAAGUACUUCGGUAUGUAAAGUUCUUUUAUUGAAAAAGAAAAAAUAGUGGAAAAACUAUCUUGACAUUAUUCAAUGAAUAAGCCCCGGCUAAUUAUGUGCCAGCAGCCGCGGUAAUACAUAAGGGGCGAGCGUUAUCCGGAAUUAUUGGGCGUAAAGGGUGCGUAGGCGGUUUGAUAAGUCUAUAGUUUAAAUGCAGCGCUUAACGCUGUAGCGCUAUAGAAACUGUCUGACUAGAGUUAGAUAGAGGCAAGCGGAAUUCCAUGUGUAGCGGUAAAAUGCGUAAAUAUAUGGAGGAACACCAGAGGCGUAGGCGGCUUGCUGGGUCUUAACUGACGCUGAGGCACGAAAGCGUGGGGAGCAAACAGGAUUAGAUACCCUGGUAGUCCACGCCGUAAACGAUGAGUACUAAGUGUCGGGUUCCGGCUCGGGUACUGAAGUUAACACAUUAAGUACUCCGCCUGAGUAGUACGUACGCAAGUAUGAACUUAAAGGAAUUGACGGGCACCCCGCACAAGCGGUGGAUCAUGUUGUUUAAUUCGAAGAUACACGAAAAACCUUACCAGGUCUUGACAUAAUUUUGCGACAUUAUAGAAAUAUAAUGAAGGUUAUCAGAAUUACAGGUGGUGCAUGGUUGUCGUCAGCUCGUGUCGUGAGAUGUUAGGUUAAGUCCUAAAACGAGCGCAACCCUUGUCGUUAGUUGCGACCACGUAAUGGUGAGCACUUUAGCGAGACUGCCAAUGAAAAAUUGGAGGAAGGUGAGGAUUACGUCAAAUCAUCAUGCCCCUUAUGAUCUGGGCUACAAACGUGAUACAAUGGCUGUUACAAAGAGUAGCUACAACGUGAGUUUUUAGCCAAUCUCAAAAAAACAGUCUCAGUUCGGAUUGAAGUCUGCAACUCGACUUCAUGAAGUUGGAAUCGCUAGUAAUCGCGAAUCAGCAUGUCGCGGUGAAUACGUUCACGGGGUUUGUACACACCGCCCGUCA